rnacentral:rRNA from 1 species
UACGUAGGGGGCAAGCGUUGUCCGGAUUUAUUGGGCGUAAAGAGCGUGUAGGCGGCCAUACAGGUCAGCUGUGAAAACUCGAGGCUCAACCUCGAGACGUCGGUUGAAACCGUAUGGCUAGAGUCCGGAAGAGGAGAGUGGAAUUCCCGGUGUAGCGGUGAAAUGCGCAGAUAUCGGGAAGAACACCUAUGGCGAAGGCAGCUCUCUGGGACGGUACUGACGCUGAGACGCGAAAGCGUGGGUAGCAAACAGG